rnacentral:rRNA from 1 species
UACGUAGGGUGCGAGCGUUAAUCGGAAUUACUGGGCGUAAAGCGUGCGCAGGCGGUUCGUUAAGACAGAUGUGAAAUCCCCGGGCUUAACCCUGGGAACUGCAUUUGUGACUGGCGAGCUAGAGUAUGGCAGAGGGGGGGGGUAGAAUUCCACGUGUAGCAGUGAAAUGCGUAGAGAUGUGGAGGAAUGACCGAUGGCGAAGGCAGCCCCCUGGGCCAAUACUGA